GAUUUAUACUUCAUGAACUUUGGAAAUAUAAAAUCUAGUGAGCAAUACUAAGUAAUGAAAAAGAGAAGCUAAUAUGACAACUAAAAGUA